GAGGUAUUGAGUAAUGAAAAAAGCUUCUAACUUAUUUUCAAAGCGGUUAAACUCCGUUUAUACCCCC
rnacentral:tRNA from 1 species